GUGCUCGCUUUGGCAGCACAUAUACUAAAACUGGAACAAUACAGAGAAGAUUAGCAUGGCCCCUGCACAAGGAUGGUAGGAAAAUUCACGAAGUGUUCCAUAUUUUU